rnacentral:rRNA from 1 species
CAGGCCUAACACAUGCAAGUCGAACGGUGAAAGAGGAGCUUGCUCCUCUGGAUCAGUGGCGAACGGGUGAGUAACACGUGAGUAACCUGCCCUUGACUCUGGGAUAACCUCGGGAAACCGAAGCUAAUACCGGAUACGACCCUCGGAGGCAUCUCCAGAGGGUGGAAAGAAUUUCGGUCAAGGAUGGACUCGCGGCCUAUCAGGUAGUUGGUGAGGUAACGGCUCACCAAGCCGACGACGGGUAGCCGGCCUGAGAGGGUGACCGGCCACACUGGGACUGAGACACGGCCCAGACUCCUACGGGAGGCAGCAGUGGGGAAUAUUGCACAAUGGGCGCAAGCCUGAUGCAGCAACGCCGCGUGAGGGACGACGGCCUUCGGGUUGUAAACCUCUUUUAGUAGGGAAGAAGCGAAAGUGACGGUACCUGCAGAAAAAGCACCGGCUAACUACGUGCCAGCAGCCGCGGUAAUAC